rnacentral:rRNA from 1 species
UACGUAGGGGCCGAGCGUUGUCCGGAGUUAUUGGGCGUAAAGCGCGCGCAGGCGGCCUCGCGCGCCCGACGUGAAAGCCCCCGGCUUAACCGGGGAGGGUCGUUGGGGACGGCGGGGCUUGAGGGCGGGAGAGGUCGGUGGAAUUCCCGGUGUAGUGGUGAAAUGCGUAGAGGUCGGGAGGAACACCUGUGGCGAAGGCGGCCGACUGGGCCGACCCUGACGCUGAGGCGCGAAGGCGUGGGGAGCGAACGGG